AUAGCGUAUAUUAAAGUUGUUGCAGUUAAAAAGCUCGUAGUUGAACUUCAGGCCCGGCGGGGUGGUCUGCCUCACGGUAUGUACUAUCCUGCUGGGCCUUACCUCUUGGUGAGCCCGUAUGCCGUUUACUCGGUGUGCGGAGGAACCAGGAAUUUUACUUUGAAAAAAUUAGAGUGUUCAAAGCAGGCUUAUGCUCGAAUACAUUAGCAUGGAAUAAUAAAAUAGGACGUGCGGUUCUAUUUUGUUGGUUUCUAGAGUCGCCGUAAUGAUUAAUAGGGAUAGUUGGGGGCAUUAGUAUUCAGUUGCUAGAGGUGAAAUUCUUGGAUUUACUGAAGACUAACUACUG
rnacentral:rRNA from 1 species